rnacentral:rRNA from 1 species
UACAGAGGGUGCAAGCGUUGUUCGGAAUCAUUGGGCGUAAAGGGCGUGCAGGCGGUUUGUUAAGUGCAGGGUGAAAGCUCCCGGCUCAACUGGGAGAGGUCCUUGCAUACUGGCAAACUCGAGGGAGGCAGAGGAAAGUGGAAUUCCCGGUGUAGUGGUGAUAUGCGUAGAUAUCGGGAGGAACACCUGUGGCGAAGGCGGCUUUCUGGGCCUUACCUGACGCUGAGACGCGAAAGCGUGGGGAGCGAACCGG